rnacentral:rRNA from 1 species
UCCGGUUGAUCCUGCCGGACCCGACUGCUAUCAGAGUGGGACUAAGCCAUGCGAGUCAACAUAGCAAUAUGUGGCAUACGGCUCAGUAACACGUAGUCAACAUGCCCAGGGGACGUGGAUAACCUCGGGAAACUGAGGAUAAACCGCGAUAAGUCACUGCUUCUGGAAUGGGCAAUGACUUAAAUCUAUAUGGCCCCUGGAUUGGACUGCGGCCGAUCAGGCUGUUGGUGAGGUAAUGGCCCACCAAACCUGUAACCGGUACGGGCUCUGAGAGGAGGAGCCCGGAGAUGGGCACUGAGACAAGGGCCCAGGCCCUAUGGGGCGCAGCAGGCGCGAAACCUCUGCAAUAGGCGAAAGCCUGACAGGGUUACUCUGAGUGAUUUCCGUUAGGGAGAUCUUUUGGCACCUCUAAAAAUGGUGCAGAAUAAGGGGUGGGCAAGUCUGGUGUCAGCCGCCGCGGUAAUACCAGCACCCCGAGUGGUCGGGACGUUUAUUGGGCCUAAAGCAUCCGUAGCCGGUUCUGCAAGUCUUCCGUUAAAUCCACCUGCUUAACAGAUGGGCUGCGGAAGAUACUAUAGAGCUAGGAGGCGGGAGAGGCAAGCGGUACUCGAUGGGUAGGGGUAAAAUCCGUUGAUCCAUUGAAGACCACCAGUGGCGAAGGCGGCUUGCCAGAACGCGCUCGACGGUGAGGGAUGAAAGCUGGGGGAGCAAACCGGAUUAGAUACCCGGGUAGUCCCAGCUGUAUACGAUGCAGACUCGGUGAUGAAUUGGCUUUAUGCCAAUUCAGUGCCGCAGGGAAGCCGUUAAGUUUGCCGCCUGGGGAGUGCGGUCGCAAGACUGAAACUUAAAGGAAUUGGCGGGGGAGCACCACAAGGGGUGAAGCCUGCGGUUCAAUUGGAGUCAACGCCGGAAAUCUUACCGGGGGCGACAGCAGAAUGAAGGUCAAGCUGAAGACUUUACCAGACAAGCUGAGAGGAGGUGCAUGGCCGUCGCCAGCUCGUGCCGUGAGGUGUCCUGUUAAGUCAGGUAACGAGCGAGACCCCUGCCUCUAGUUGCUACCAUUAUUCUCAGGAGUAGUGGAGCUAAUUAGAGGGACUGCCGUCGCUGAGACGGAGGAAGGAGGGGGCUACGGCAGGUCAGUAUGCCCCGAAACCCUCGGGCCACACGCGGGCUGCAAUGGUAAGGACAAUGAGUAUCGAUUCCGAAAGGAGGAGGCAAUCUCUAAACCUUACCACAGUUAUGAUUGAGGGCUGAAACUCGCCCUCAUGAAUAUGGAAUCCCUAGUAACCGCGUGUCACUAUCGCGCGGUGAAUACGUCCCUGCUCCUUGCACACACCGCCCGUCGCUUCAUCGAAGUUGGUUCUUGGCGAGGUGAUGCCUAAUUGGUACUAUCGAACCUGGGGUCAGCAACGAGGGAG